AACAUUCUGAUAGAUGUUUAGAGGCAGCACACAGAGAGCUUGCUCUCUGGGUGGCGAGUGGCGGACGGGUGAGGAAUACAUCGGAAUCUACUCUGUCGUGGGGGAUAACGUAGGGAAACUUACGCUAAUACCGCAUACGACCUACGGGUGAAAGCAGGGGACCUUCGGGCCUUGCGCGAUUGAAUGAGCCGAUGUCGGAUUAGCUAGUUGGCGGGGUAAAGGCCCACCAAGGCGACGAUCCGUAGCUGGUCUGAGAGGAUGAUCAGCCACACUGGAACUGAGACACGGUCCAGACUCCUACGGGAGGCAGCAGUGGGGAAUAUUGGACAAUGGGCGCAAGCCUGAUCCAGCCAUACCGCGUGGGUGAAGAAGGCCUUCGGGUUGUAAAGCCCUUUUGUUGGGAAAGAAAUCCAGCCGGCUAAUACCCGGUUGGGAUGACGGGACCCAAAAAAUAAGCUCCGGGUUACUUCGUGCCAAGAGCCGCGGUAAUACUAAGGGGGCAACCCUUACUCGGAAA
rnacentral:rRNA from 1 species